rnacentral:rRNA from 1 species
UACGGAGGGGACUAGCGUUGUUCGGAAUUACUGGGCGUAAAGCGCACGUAGGCGGACCAGAAAGUUGGGGGUGAAAUCCCGGGGCUCAACCCCGGAACUGCCCUCAAAACUAUUGGUCUGGAGUUCGAGAGAGGUGAGUGGAAUUCCGAGUGUAGAGGUGAAAUUCGUAGAUAUUCGGAGGAACACCAGUGGCGAAGGCGGCUCACUGGCUCGAUACUGACGCUGAGGUGCGAAAGCGUGGGGAGCAAACAGG